GAAGUUUUACACUCAAUAAAAUCCUGCUUUACAUAUAUUACUCUGUGUGAUGUCUUAAUAUUAAUGUUGCAAAAUCCAAAUAAGUAAAGAUUUCACCUGAUGUGUUCAUCUUUUUGUUCCAUAGGAGUGUGUGAAUAUCUCUACACUAUGAAGAAUAAAAUUAACCAAAUGAGAAAUAGAGAAAAAAGCUAUCCGUUCUCUGGAUGAACAAGAGGAAAAAAUAAACAAAUAAUUGAAUAUGCACUGAAAAUAAUAUAAGGACAAGAUGCAAUACAAACCUCAAGUAAAUCCACAAACUGAAAGAGAAAAGUUGAAAAAUGGAAAUCUCUGCAGCACAGCUGAAAGAAAGGAGAAAUAUCUUUUCUAAUUUCUGAUAUGAAAUCCACUCCAAAAUUAUUACAAGAGACUAAGAAGGUCAAUAAUUAUUUGUAAAUGGAACCAUUCACAAGGAAGAGAAA